rnacentral:rRNA from 1 species
UACGUAGGGGGCUAGCGUUGUCCGGAAUCAUUGGGCGUAAAGCGCACGUAGGCGGAUCUUUAAGUCAGGGGUGAAAUCCCAAGGCUCAACCUUGGAACUGCCCUUGAUACUGGGGAUCUCGAGUCCGGAAGAGGUUGGUGGAACUCCGAGUGUAGAGGUGAAAUUCGUAGAUAUUCGGAAGAACACCAGUGGCGAAGGCGGCCAACUGGUCCGGCACUGACGCUGAGGUGCGAAAGCGUGGGGAGCAAACAGG